AAUCAUUUAUCUUAAUUAAAGUCUUUACCUUGAAAGUAUUUUAUAAGAGUUUAAAUCUCUUAAUGAUUU
rnacentral:tRNA from 1 species